rnacentral:rRNA from 1 species
GCAGCCUGAUGCAGCCAUGCCGCGUGUGUGAAGAAGGCCUUCGGGUUGUAAAGCACUUUCAGUAAGGAGGAAAGGUUAAGUGUUAAUAGCAGCUUAGCUGUGACGUUACUUACAGAAGAAGCACCGGCUAACUCCGUGCCAGCAGCCGCGGUAAUACGGAGGGUGCGAGCGUUAAUCGGAAUUACUGGGCGUAAAGCGUACGCAGGCGGUUUGUUAAGCGAGAUGUGAAAGCCCCGGGCUCAACCUGGGAACUGCAUUUCGAACUGGCAAACUAGAGUGUGAUAGAGGGUGGUAGAAUUUCAGGUGUAGCGGUGAAAUGCGUAGAGAUCUGAAGGAAUACCGAUGGCGAAGGCAGCCACCUGGGUCAACACUGACGCUCAUGUACGAAAGCGUGGGGAGCAAACAGGAUUAGAUACCCUGGUAGUCCACGCCGUAAACGAUGUCUACUAGAAGCUCGGGUCUUCGGACUUGUUUUUCAAAGCUAACGCAUUAAGUAGACCGCCUGGGGAGUACGGCCGCAAGGUUAAAACUCAA